GCUUCGGAAUUUGUAUUGCGAAACUGUGAACAUGUGGACUACUCGUCAACAUCGCCGCAUCGCCUCCGGAGACAGCCAUAAGGUCGUUUCAAUAAUAAUACAGUGGACUCGAGUUAAUUGUUGAUCGAACCAAUGGCCGAUGGAGCAGACGUGUUCUGGACUGGAGACCGCGUACGGGUAAGCGCAGCGUUGGGCGUCGCCCUGCCCGUUGGACCGAUGACUUGCGGCGAUAUGCUGGGUAAGAUUGGAUGCGGAAGGCGGAGGUUCGUUCAUUGUGGCGGACUAUGGGAGAAAGUAGGCCAGCAGUGGAGAGACACAGGCUGAUGAUGAUGAAUAAAAAAAAACACACAAAAAUAAUUGAAAACGAUAAAUAGCUUGUUCACGUGUUACUUAUACGAAAAGGCGGAGAUACGUCCAGGAGCCACUACAUCUUCAUUGUAUGGAUGUAGAGAAGAGAUAGAGUGAAGUUCUGCUGCCGAACGGGGAUUGUGCUCGGCAGACCGACGCCGCAAGUUGAUUAGAAGUUGAAGAACUCAUAGGUAUCUCAAGGUGGGUGGCAGCAUUUACGUUGUAGAUAUCUAUGGGCUCCGGUUACCACUUAACAUCAGUUGGGCCGUGAGUUCGUCCACCCAUCUAAGCAAUAAAAAUAUAUGUAUAUAAAUGGCAACAUCAAUUCCACCAACCACAUUGAGGCAUAAAUUCGAAGAUUCAAUUGUGUUGCCGGCCCCACUCUUCAAGCUGCUUGGUUAUUGCUACCGGUAAAAUGAAUCCAACGAACAAACAAUAGCACUUAAUAUUCCUCAUUACAGGCACAAAGAGAUGAAAAUCAUUUAAGUUAUAUUGGAAUAACGCAUAGGUACCAUUAUUAAAACAGGAUACUUUUUGUUAAGGUACCUACAACAUGAGCCGCGAGGAGCCUUCUAUAACUAAUUGUUUUAAUGACAUGAAAUUGUAUUCGGUGGAUCCAAUUAAAGUGGAAGUCUCUGCAUCUUCAAAUCAACUGGCAGUUCUUCGACGGAAAAUGCAACGUGUUACAUUCUUCCUCAAAUCCUUAAGCGAAUGUAACCCAAAGGCACGUCUAAUUGUAGGUAUAUAGUUAAUUAUAAUCAUUCCACAGUGAAUUAGGCCCAAUUACGUUGUAAAUGUCUAUGGGCUCCAGUAACCACUUAACACCAAGGGGCCGUGAGCUCGUCCAACCAUCUAUGAAAAAAACCCUGAACUAGUGGCGCCCUCCGGUGUCGCAAAUUUCUCAUUUAAUUUAUCAGCCCAGGCGUCUUUAUCAUUUAAUCAUUUAGCUUUUUUUUUUAUUGCCCUUGUAGGCAGACGAGCAUAUGGCCCACCUGAUGGUGAGUGGUUACCGUCGCCCAUGGACUUCAGCAAUGCCAGGGGCAGAGCCAAGCCGCUGCCUACCGCUUAAUACUCUCCACAAGCCUCGUUUGAAGAAGGACAUGUCAUAGCGCUCGGGAAACACCGUAGAGGAGAGCUCAUUCCAUAGCCGGAUGGUACGUGGCAAAAAAGAUCUCUGGAAACGCACUGUGGAUGACCGCAGUGGCUCCAGGUAGUAUGGAUGAACUCUACUCCGGUGGCGGGCGGUGCGAUGGUAAAAACGAGAUGUCGGUAUCAUCUCGAACAAUUCCUCAGAGCACUAACGAUGUCUCCAGCCCAACUUUCAUAGAGUCGGCCUCUUUGUCUUUCACUUUUGAUCCAACUUGUUGUUGAUUCAACAAUACCUACUAUUAGCGCUAAAGGUCCAGCACACCUCCAUUUUUGUUUGAAGUCACAAAUAGAGUAUAAAUCAUCUGCAUAAAUAUUUCAGUAUACCAGUUUCGUAUCUCUAUACUCAUUAAAAUGAAGACUAUAAAGUUAAAAUGAAUUACCUAAAUGAAAAGAGUUUCCGACUCGGGCGGGACAGGACGGGCUUGAUAUUGGUUUGACUUUAGUUAAAGCCGAAACUAUAGUCGAGCUUUCUUAAUUAAAGCAAAAUUUAUACCCAAUGUAGAUGAAUAGAAGGUUCGAGAGCUAAGAACGUAAAUUAGUUUCGUCACAAAACAUCAACUUAGGGUACUUAUUUGGAAAAUUAAAUAUGUGCAAGUAUAAAUAAAUACAUUAUUCAUAAAUAAACGACUACACAUAUAAAAUAAUCUGCUACACCCAAUAAUGUCAUAAGUAGGUAAAGCAAAAUAAAAUAUAAUUAAUAUUACUUUAAUCGCAUUUUGUAGUUUCAUUUAUAUUUUAAAAAUGUUUUAUUACUAAAUUAAUAAAGUAUUUAAACUA